rnacentral:tRNA from 1 species
GCCUUUGUGGUGUAAUGGUCAGCACACUUGGCGCGUAUUCGAGAGGUCCGAGGUUCGAGUCCCGGCGAGAGCA